UUGGUUUGUGGGGGGAGGUUGGGGCUGUAUUUUUUUUUCGAGAGACCGCCUCAGCAGCGGCGUCCUCCGUCCUGGUGGAGGUCAGGAGGUGAGGCGCUACGCCGCCGAUCCCGAAACUGGCGCACGGGCACAGGACGAGCCGAGGCCGGCUGGUGGUGGAGUGAGUGGAGUGAGGUCACGAGUGGUGAGGUGACAGCAGUAGUGGUAAAGAAGGCGUCCCCCAGAGCAGACUCCGCCUAAGCUAGCUCUACCAGUUCUAGCUUCUAACACUACCCCUACCGCGGCGGCUGGGCGGCGUCGGGUUAGGCCGAGGCCGUGGGCGACGGCAGUUCCGCCUCCUCCGCUAACUACUACCAGUCGGUCCGAGAAGUAGGUCGAUAAAUUCCAGUGUGAAAUAACCAUACCCUAAAAGUGGUUAUGACCAGCUGUUUUACGAAGUCUUUGUACCACUAGUACUAAGAUUGUGAUAUAACCUCAGUGAAAACAGAGUAGUAUUAAGGCCCAGACUUAGCAGUUCAAGCAAUCCGUCAGAGAAACUAAGACUGUUACUUCUUUUGUCAAGAUUUGUUCUGUAGUUCGGCCUCGGUCUAAGAAAGAGUCUUUCCUCCAGUAUAAAUGAGGCGUGUUACUUGAAGAGUGUCUGCCUUCAGCUAAAUCGUAAGUUGGUUAAUCCACUCCUACGUGAUGAACUAGUCGAACAUCUAAAGUAACAGUGACGAGUCCCUCCUCAUAAUGGCCCUCUAUACCUUUUACCGGUACGAUGUUUACUCCAUUUUCGACUUAGUAACAAACCCCAUUACCUAUUUUGCGAAGUAAACGAAGUCUACCCAAAAUGACUCCUUCUUCACAGUAACCGAUAACUAUCGAAGCCAGUCCUUCGUCGCCAAGUCCUCGAACGACUGAGUUAAAAACGUUCUGCAUAACGGUCAUGGUAACUCGUCUUUGUCCACUUUUAACUCAGACUUAAAGAUCCCCUCGUUCCCCUCGUUCUUUGACUUAUAAGUUGUAUAGUAGUCUCCAACUUGAUAAUACUACUACUGCUACUGUUGUUUUCUCAAUUUUUCCGGUUCGUAUAUAAGUCUCUACUAUCUCCUCGGAGUUCAUCAGUACGACAGUUAGUUGGAUGAGGCACCAAUUCACCGCCACAACCCAGUCGACCACUACCAAUAAACUUCCUUCUUCUAAUACUUUACUGUAACCCGGGAGCACGUUUACAGAGACCACUCGAACGGUUCGGAGGGAAGAAGGAGAUACCUUUACAACAAUUGUAGUGGUUUCUACGCACCAGACUUUAUAGCCCAAAGAACAGGCCACACGCCGGACUCAAAUAUUUAUCAGUCGAAAAGAGCCGAAACUACGCUUCCCUUCCAAUGGAAGUAUUGGAAGGUUGUCUCUCUUCCGUACAACACCAAGGCUUCAGUGGUUACUGUUAACUCCUACGUCACGGAAGGUGUUCUGUAAUGACCGGGUGUACCCUAUGGUCUUUUGUAUAACCAUCACAAUGAAGUCUCCACCGUCCUUAACUUGUUGAAACACUCUACAACCCUUUCUGGUAUUUUCUAAGUGCUCCUGAAGAAAGUCUUCUUUUUGCUCGCGUCUAGAACGUGGUUACGUUCUACCGUUUAGAAUAGACCUAACCAGUUCUGGCCGAUCCGGGAGACGUCGGUUUAGUUUACCUCGCCUAUAAUCCAAUGGGUAGUUUGGUAUGUUUAGACAAACCAGAUUUGGGUGGCCUGUCCUAACGACGAUACUUUAUGCGAAAAGUUUGCCUGUGGUAACGAAUAGAAAACAGUCAAGAUUUUCUGUAGAUAGGUCUACCAAACUCCCAUGAUAGGUAGAUAUCACCUCAACCCCCACGUCUUUAACGCGACGUAGCAGAGCCAUAAGGUGAUUUCACACAUCACAGACAACUUCUCAGACUACACUUGUCCUUUUAAGACUUUUCUACCACCCGUUUUUGUCUCGUCUCGCCUCAAGACUCUGUUGAUUUACCGUAUACCUUCGAUUUCUGGCUACGUGAACUCCUGGAUAAAUUCCUUAAACCACCGAAACUGAAUCAACAACCGCCUUUAAUGUCAAGUAUAUCUCCACCCUGCUGUCAUUUACGUUGAUACCCCUACCUGAGGUCAUUUAUGAAACUCAUGCAAGCACAAGAAGUUUCUCACUCUUCAUACGUCGUGAAAAUAUUCAUCAAUAACGGACUGUAUUAAUACAGGAAGUGGUAGAUAGAAGCUGUUCCCUACCGCGUCGCAAUACUCUGAACAUUUACCAUCCUACCUCUGCAUGCGAAACAACUGUCGAUCUCUUGAAACACGACAGAGAAAUAGGUCGAUCUCUUGAAAGAUGACAGAGAAGUAGUGACGUACUACUCAAGUUGAUAGGAAGACAAGGACCAAUUAAUCGACGUAUAGUGACAUUGAUAAUUAGCCAACCACUAAACGUAUACUCGAUCACUAAACACACUUUUGUAUGUACACUUGACUUGUCCAUAUACUAAAAGGAAAAAGUCAGAUCCUUACAAAUCGACGGGUGUGUAAUACGACGAGGUCUGUUACUGUGCACGUCUAAACACACGGUAAGACAUGCCAUCAAAGAAGUACCGGUUCUACCUUUACAGUCUAGUCAAACUCAAUCCAAAGAACUUAGCUUACCACACACUGAACAUACAGACGCACGAUUAUUUUGUCAGUCAAACUAGUAUUGGUUCUGACUAAACGACCCUACACCUGCUGUGCUCUGUAGUCAAUAUGGAUCACCAUGAGUUCAAGUUGGUCGAACGACCAAGACUUCUAAACAGUUGCAUAAGUCAAACAUGGUCUGUCUUUUAAAACUUCAUAGGCUCUUUUUUCCUACACGACUGAUAUAUUUGACCUACUACGGGGCUUGCAACAACGUCCUUAUAAAACGUUAUAAAGU
rnacentral:rRNA from 1 species